AUUGAACGCUGGCGGCAUGCCUUACACAUGCAAGUCGAACGGCAGCACGGGAGCAAUCCUGGUGGCGAGUGGCGAACGGGUGAGUAAUAUAUCGGAACGUACCUAUGAGUGGGGGAUAACUAUCCGAAAGGAUAGCUAAUACCGCAUACGCCCUGAGGGGGAAAGCGGGGGAUCGUAAGACCUCGCGCUGAUAGAGCGGCCGAUGUUCGAUUAGCUAGUUGGUGAGGUAAAGGCUCACCAAGGCGACGAUCGAUAGCUGGUCUGAGAGGAUGAGCAGCCACACUGGAAACGAGACACGGUCCAGACUCCUACGGGAGGCAGCAGUGGGGAAUUUUGGACAAUGGCGGCAACCCUGAUCCAGCCAUUCCGCGUGAGUGAAGAAGGCCUUCGGGUUGUAAAGCUCUUUCGGCAGGAACGAAACGGCCAUUACUAAUACUAGUGGUCAAUGACGGUACCUGAAGAAGAAGCACCGGCUAACUACGUGCCAGCAGCCGCAGUAACAC
rnacentral:rRNA from 1 species